GCGCACGCGCGCCGCCCGCCGCUGAGGUCCCCAAGCGGCCCCGGUGCUCCGCCGUUAGGGGUGGCCGCGGCGGUGCCUGACGGGAAAGCGGCCCGGUUCCGGGAAUGGCGGAGGGGCCGGGAGGGCCGCAGCGGUGCCCGUACUGCCAGCGGCACUUCCGGAGGCUCCGCGCGCACCUCCCGCACUGCAAGGCCGCGCCGGGCCUGCGGGGGGAAGCGGCGGCCGGGACCGGGACCGGGGCCGGGACCGAGGCGGAGGUGGCCCGGAGCCUCGAUCUCCGCCCCGAGGAGGCCGCGGCCGCCGCCGCGAAGCUGCGCCGAGGGCCGAAAGUCGCCAUCGAGAAGCACCGCGCCGUGGUGCUCCGGGAGCGGCCCGGUCCCGGUCCCGGUCCCGGGGCAAGGCCCAGCCCCGGCCCGCAGGGAGCCGCUCCCGGAGCCGCUGGCCCGGAGGCCGCCGGGCGCGGAGCUCCCGGCUCCGGUGGCCGCAGCGCGGGUGAAGCGCGCGCGGUGCGCGGAGCCGGCCGCAGACCGAGCCCCGGUGAGCUCCUCCCGCAGCGGGGAGCGGCGAGGACCGGGGCGGGAGAGGGGCAGAGGCACGGGGAAGGCGCCGCGGGGCGCGGAGCCCCCCGGUCGGCUUCGCACACCGAGAGCCGCCGUCUGUCGGCGGAGCGGCCCGGAGGUCGCGGGGAAGGGACGGCCAAAAAUGAGCUAACCGGCGCACCGGAGCCCGGUGGCAGCGAGCAGCGGGUGGCUGGCGUCACCGAGCCCCUCCUGAACGCACGGCGGGACGCCCCGUUCCUGCUCCGCGCCUCCCAGCGCCAGCCCAUCUGCCUCUCCCGGGGCUCUGGCAGGAGCGCGCGGGCAGGUGCCGUGGGCUUGGAGUGGUUUCCAGAGCUGCGUCCUAAUUAUCAGGCUCUGAGCGCGUUUGCGGAGAGGCCUUUCCAGGGAGAGCUGGGGAUCGCGACGAAGACACCGAGGGGCAAUUUCUCAGAAGGACAGCGAGGUAACGUAAGAAACGCGUGGCGCUGCUGCUGCUGUGCUGUCAGGCUAAACUGUCGGGCGUCAAUGGGAACAGGAAGCGCUCAGCUGCUGGGUUCAGACCUGAAAGAAUCCAAGGACGUUACCUGUGCAACCUUCCCAGCCUGGAAAACCAGCAGUUUAAGAUGGGCUCUUGCGUGUUUGGGCUGGUGGAGCCAGCUGACUUUGUGGGAGAGAGAAUCGCUCUUCUUUUCUGAGCACUCUCAAAGUCAGCUCACCAGGAACCACACUGUACAGCAGCUCAGCGCUCACCACCCGGUCCAGCGAACACGAUCACAUCAUGUGUUGGCCUCGUUUCCCUCCCUUUGACUGCUCCGACCUCUCGUUUCACAGGGCCCCUCGCAGAAAGGCACCUGAUGGAUGUCAGGCUGGGGGAGCUGCCCACGUGGCUGGCCACCCGUGACUUCUCUCCCCGGGGGCUGCUUGGAGGAGUGCAGAAAGCAUGGAACAGUUACUGCAACAAAUACAUCAACGUGAAAAAGGGCGGAGCAGCUGGGGUCUCCAUGCUCCUGGCUGGAUACUGCAUCCUCAGCUACGGCUGGAGCUAUCAGCAUAUCAAGUGUAAUCGCUGGCGUAAGUACCACUGAAGAAGCUGGAACAGCAACCAGGGAACAAUCACAACCAUUUGACGGAGUCAGCACAAGCUCUCUGGACCAGCGUCCCAACAGGGAUUGAACCCAGCAGAGGCCCCCUUCCUGUCAGAGACAGCUCGUAAAUCCCUGCUGCUGAGGGGGUGCUGUUCAGCUACCCUCCGGCAGGCAGAGGGGUGAUGCUGACAGCCUGCAGUCACUGCUCUGCGGGUCAGGCAGCGUUCAGUACUGAAAGACAAAGUGUUAGGGCAGCUCCUCAGAGGUCUGCAGGAGAGCUCCUGUACUUUGCUUUGCAGCAGCUUGGGUCCCUUGCUGGAUAGGUCAGGGACAGGACAGUUCCCGGACGUAGGCGGUUAGCGUAGAUUGAUCUACACAUGUAUCUACACAUGUUACAGUGUAUUGCCAAUGAAUUAUAUGAUUGAUUGUGGCAGAGGGGGAUAAUCCUUCCCGUAAGUUAGCUGAGCUGUGCCCAGCACUGCCCGUCUUUUACUUACCCCUCUCCACAACGAGAUUGCUUUGCUACCAGCCCCAGGAGAAGGGUGGUCCCUGCAGAGCUGUUCCACAAAGGGGCCCCUGCUUCACCAACAGCACAGCACCCCUGGGACUGCCUGGGCACCAAAACAGCCACGGGAAGGAUCUCUGUGAAGGCUUUAAAGCAGCAGCACUGAGAACGCAGUGCCCUAUUUCUGGCGGAAGAAAAUCCAUUGGAUUAGCUGUUGUGCCCAAAGGGCAGACUGACAUCAGACGAACGAGGACAGUUAUGAGAGCGCUAGUUGUAGCCUGCCGUCACCGAACAUGUCUGGAAAAGCAGCAUUGGUCAUGUUACAGGCAUGAAGGGUAAGAAAAAAAAGGCAACAAGAAUAUGAACUCUUUAUUCCAAGUGAGGUGCAGAAGUAUUGUGUCAGAGGCGUUUCACCAAGAACUCCCCUUACCAGCAAUAAAAGCCUUUGUGCGUUUUCCUUUCCUGCUC